rnacentral:rRNA from 1 species
UACGUAGGGUGCAAGCGUUGUCCGGAAUUAUUGGGCGUAAAGAGCUCGUAGGCGGUUUGUUGCGUCGGCUGUGAAAUCCCGAGGCUCAACCUCGGGUCUGCAGUCGAUACGAGCAAACUAGAGUGUUGCAGGGGAGACUGGAAUUCCUGGUGUAGCGGUGAAAUGCGCAGAUAUCAGGAGGAACACCGGUGGCGAAGGCGGCAUCCUGGACCGAUACUGACGCUGAGGAGCGAAAGCCAGGGGAGCAAACGGG